rnacentral:rRNA from 1 species
GACGAACGCUGGCGGCGUGCCUAACACAUGCAAGUCAAGGGGAAAGUCACUUUCGGGUGGUGAGUAUACUGGCGGACGGGUGAGUAACGCGUAGGUAACCUGCCCUUAUGUUUGGGAUAACCUUGCGAAAGCGGGGCUAAUACCGGAUAGGGUUCUGGUGGUGCAUGCCACGGGGAUUAAAGUUGCUUGGGGUGACUCAGGUAACGCAUAAGGAUGGGCCUGCGUUCCAUUAGCUAGUUGGUGAGGCAACGGCUCACCAAGGCGACGAUGCGUAGCCGACCUGAGAGGGUGAUCGGCCACAUUGGGACUGAGACACGGCCCAGACUCCUACGGGAGGCUG